rnacentral:rRNA from 1 species
UACGAAGGGGGCUAGCGUUGCUCGGAAUUACUGGGCGUAAAGGGCGCGCAGGCGGCUAUCCAAGUCAGGCGUGAAAGCCCCGGGCUCAACCCGGGAAGUGCACUCGAUACUGUCAAGCUAGAGUAUCGGAGAGGUUGGUGGAAUUCUCGGUGUAGAGGUGAAAUUCGUAGAUAUCGAGAGGAACACCGGUGGCGAAGGCGGCCAACUGGACGAAUACUGACGCUGAGACUCGAAAGCGUGGGGAGCAAACAGG